rnacentral:lncRNA from 13 species
UCUGGAGUAUACAGUAUUAUCAUAUCUCUCUGUCUGGAGUAUACAGUAUUAUCAUCUCUCUCUGUCUGGAGUAUACAGUAUUAUCAUGUCUGUCUGGAGUAUACAGUAUUAUCAUGUCUGUCUGGAGUAUACAGUAUUAUCAUAUCUCUCUGUCUGGAGUAUACAGUAUUAUCAUCUCUCUCUGUCUGGAGUAUACAAUAUUAUCAUGUCUGUCUGGUGUAUACAGUAUUAUCAUCUCUCUCUGCCUGGAGUAUACAGUAUUAUCAUGUCUGUCUGGAAUAUACAGCAUUAUCAUCUCUCUCUGUCUGGAGUAUACAGUAUUAUCAUCUCUCUCUGUCUGGAGUAUACAGUAUUAUCAUGUCUGUCUGGAAUAUACAGCAUUAUCAUCUCUCUCUGUCUGGAGUAUACAGUAUUGUCAUCUCUCUCUCGCUCUCCCUCUCAGGUCAGUUCUAUGCCCCUGGUGGAGAGAAGGAGUGUGUGUUGGGGCUGACUUCAGACCAGGAGAACAACAUCCUGGUCACUGGAGACACAGCAGGGUGUGUUCAGGUCUGGGACAUCUCUCAGUACGCGCUAUGCAUCACACAGGAGCCCUCCCCAAGCCACCCUCCUCUCCUGCAGUCCUGGAGGGCCCAUGAGGGGGCGAUAGUGAGUGUUGAGGUGCUGGUGUACACAGAGAGACUUUUCUUCCUAUCUGGCUCUGUGGAUGGGACCAGCAGAGUGUGGACGGAGGAGGGAGGGCAUGUAGGUUCAUUUGGACAGGAACCACAGUGGAGUCUCGCUGACCCAGCCCCUCACCACACCUCCAGAGACCAGGUAAACAACCUGGCUGAGGAGGAGAAGGAAGAAAGGGAGAAGAAGAUUGAGAGUGAAAGUGACCCAUCACAGAGCAGCGAGGUCACAGGUCAAACAUCUGACCUUUUCAGCGGGGGUCCGGGUUCACCGGAGGAAUGGAUUUAUGAAGGUAACUAUUAGCAACAAACAGGUGUUCAUACACACAGUCCCCCACGCAUGGACAGAAACACACACACACACACACAGACACACACACACACACACACACACACACACACACACACACACACACACACACACACACACACACACAC